UACCCAUACAAAAUUCGUCCCCCGUUAAUCUGUAAUUAUAAAAUAAUCUCAGAUUAUAACGAUAGUUUUCUCCAUACAACUCUGUGUUUUCUGUGUUAUCGAUAAUUAUUACUACGAAGUAAAGGAGAAACGUCAAAGUAAAAAGUAAACGAAAUGGACGCCGGCAAAGAAAAGAGAAAGAAGCGAUCGCAAUGGCAUAAAGAAGAAGUCGACCUUCUUCUGGAUUUGUGGGAGGAAAAGUUGCCGCAACUUCGAGGCUGCAAACGAAACUCCCAUGUAUAUGCGGACAUGGCAGUGGAAAUGGCCACAAGAGGCUUUGUAUUUUCCGCAAACGAAAUUCAAGUCAAAAUACAUAAUUUAACCAAUAAAUAUAGGCAAGUUUUUCAUCUAUGCAAAUUUAAUUGUAAAAAUAUAAUUCUUAUUUCACAGAGAUGAGAAAAAGAUUGUUGGGCCUUCAGGCGGCACACCAUCUGCGUGGGGGCACUACAACAAAGUGCACCAAAUCCUCGGCGCUACAAGUCCUUUAACUUGGAAGCAAUAGUGGAGGAGAGUACAGUUGAGACACUUGAAGUUGUGGUAGAUGAAGAGUGCUACAAUAGGCCCUCUGAAAUUGAAGCAACUUCUCCUUCGCCUGAAUUUUUAAUACUGGAGGAAUGUUCUUCAGAACCUCCGAAAAAGCGGAGGAAAAAAAAAGAAAAUGUUAAUUUCCAAGAUGAAUUUAUUGAAGAAUUUCGCGCGGCCAACCAAACAAUCGCUUUGGAAAUGAAAGAGCUGAAAGAGGAUAGCAAAGAAGCCCUGCAAAUUGAAAGGGAUCGGAAUGCUAUUCUCGAAAAAUUUCUAGAGGCUUUCAAACAAAAUAAGUAAUAAAAUUUCGGGUCAUUUCCAAAUUGCAGGAAGGAAAUAAA